rnacentral:rRNA from 1 species
CCUACGGGAGGCAGCAGUGAGGAAUAUUGGUCAAUGGACGAGAGUCUGAACCAGCCAAGUAGCGUGAAGGAUGACUGCCCUAUGGGUUGUAAACUUCUUUUAUAAAGGAAUAAAACGAGGCACGUGUGCCUUUUUGCAUGUACUUUAUGAAUAAGGAUCGGCUAACUCCGUGCCAGCCGCCGCGGUAAUACGGAGGAUCCGAGCGUUAUGCGGAUUUAUUGGGUUUAAAGGGAUCGUAGAUGGGGUGUUAAGUCAGUUGUGAAAGUUUGCGGCUCAACCGUAAAAUUGCAAUUGAUACUGGCAGUCUUGAGUACAGUUGAGGUAGGCGGAAUGCGUGGUGUAGCGGUGAAAUGCUUAGAUAUCACGAAGAACCCCGAUUGCGAAGGCAGCUUACUAAACUGUGACUGACAUUGAUGCUCGAAAGUGUGGGUAUCAAACAGGAUUAGAUACCCCAGUAGUC